GGGGCGUUAGCUCAAUUGGUAGAGCAGUUGACUUUUAAUCAAUUGGUCGCAGGUUCGAAUCCUGCACGACCCACCA
rnacentral:tRNA from 1 species